AGUCGAGCGGUAACAGGUGUAGCAAUACAUGCUGACGAGCGGCGAACGGGUGAGUAAUGCUUUGGAAUCUUCCCAGUAGUGGGGAACAACCAGUCGAAAGAUUGGCUAAUACCGCAUACGUCGGAGACGAGAAAGCGGGGGAUCGUAAGACCUCGCGCUAUUGGAUGAGCCAAAGUCGGAUUAGCUAGUUGGUGAGGUAAUGGCUCACCAAGGCGACAAUCCGUAGCUGGUCUGAGAGGACGACCAGCCACACCGGAACUGAGACACGGUCCGGACUCCUACGGGAGGCAGCAGUGGGGAAUAUUGGACAAUGGGGGAAACCCUGAUCCAGCGACGCCGCGUGUGUGAAGAAGGCCUGCGGGUUGUAAAGCACUAUUAGUGGGGACAAAAAGUCACAGGCUAAUAACUUGUGAUCUUGAUUUAACUCACAGAAAAAGCACCGGCUAACUCUGUGCCAGCAGCCGCGGUAAUACAGAGGGUGCGAGCGUUAAUCGGAAUUACUGGGCGUAAAGCGCACGUAGACGGUUUGGUAAGUCAGAUGUGAAAUCCCCGGGCUCAACCUGGGAACUGCAUUUGAUACUGCCUGGCUAGAGUAUCGAAGAGGGAAGUGGAAUUUCCGGUGUAGCGGUGAAAUGCGUAGAUAUCGGAAGGAACACCAGUGGCGAAAGCGACUUCCUGGUCGAAUACUGACGUUCAUGUGCGA
rnacentral:rRNA from 1 species